rnacentral:tRNA from 1 species
GCAUGCUUAGCUCAAUUGGAUAGAGCGCCUGACUUCGGAUCAGUAGGUUGUGGGUUCGAGUCCUACAGCGUGCG